AGAGUUUGAUCAUGGCUCAGGAUGAACGCUAGCUACAGGCUUAACACAUGCAAGUCGAGGGGAAACGACAUCGAAAGCUUGCUUUUGAUGGGCGUCGACCGGCGCACGGGUGAGUAACGCGUAUCCAACCUGCCCACCACUUGGGGAUAACCUUGCGAAAGUAAGACUAAUACAAGAUGUUAUCAUGAGUAAGCAUUUUCACAUGAUUAAAGGUUUACCGGUGUAAGAUGGGGAUGCGUUCCAUUAGAUAGUAGGCGGGGUAACGGCCACCUAGUCUUCGAUGGAUAGGGGGUUCUGAGAGGAAGGUCCCCCACAUUGGAACUGAGACACGGUCCAAACUCCUACGGGAGGCA
rnacentral:rRNA from 1 species